CUACGGGGGGCAGCAGUGGGGAAUAUUGGACAAUGGGCGAAAGCCUGAUCCAGCCAUGCCGCGUGUGUGAAGAAGGCCUUCGGGUUGUAAAGCACUUUCAGUGGGGAAGAAAGCCUUGGGGCUAAUACCCUCGAGGAAGGACAUCACCCACAGAAGAAGCACCGGCUAACUCCGUGCCAGCAGCCGCGGUAAUACGGAGGGUGCGAGCGUUAAUCGGAAUUACUGGGCGUAAAGCGCGCGUAGGCGGUCUGAUAAGCCGGUUGUGAAAGCCCCGGGCUCAACCUGGGAACGGCAUCCGGAACUGUCAGGCUAGAGUGCAGGAGAGGAAGGUAGAAUUCCCGGUGUAGCGGUGAAAUGCGUAGAGAUCGGGAGGAAUACCAGUGGCGAAGGCGGCCUUCUGGACUGACACUGACGCUGAGGUGCGAAAGCGUGGGUAGCAAACAGGAUUAGAUACCCUGGUAGU
rnacentral:rRNA from 1 species